rnacentral:rRNA from 1 species
GAAGUUUUGGUACUGUCUCAGGACGAACGCUGGCGGCGUGCUUAACACAUGCAAGUCGAACGGAAAGGCCCUGCUUUUGUGGGGUGCUCGAGUGGCGAACGGGUGAGUAACACGUGAGUAACCUGCCCUUGACUUUGGGAUAACUUCAGGAAACUGGGGCUAAUACCGGAUAGGAGCUCCUGCUGCAUGGUGGGGGUUGGAAAGUUUCGGCGGUUGGGGAUGGACUCGCGGCUUAUCAGCUUGUUGGUGGGGUAGUGGCUUACCAAGGCUUUGACGGGUAGCCGGCCUGAGAGGGUGACCGGCCACAUUGGGACUGAGAUACGGCCCAGACUCCUACGGGAGGCAGCAGUGGGGAAUAUUGCACAAUGGGCGGAAGCCUGAUGCAGCAACGCCGCGUGCGGGAUGACGGCCUUCGGGUUGUAAACCGCUUUCGCCUGUGACGAAGCGUGUAGUGACGGUAAUGGGUAAAGAAGCACCGGCUA